UACAGAGGGGGCAAGCGUUAUUCGGAAUUAUUGGGCGUAAAGGGCGCGUAGGCGGCUUUGCAAGUGACGGGUGAAAGCCCUCGGCUUAACCGAGGAACUGCCUGUCAGACUGUGAGGCUUGAGACCGGGAGAGGUGAGUGGAAUUCCCAGUGUAGCGGUGAAAUGCGUAGAUAUCUGGAGGAACACCGGUGGCGAAGGCGGCAUCCUGGACCGAUACUGACGCUGAGGAGCGAAAGCCAGGGGAGCAAACGGG
rnacentral:rRNA from 1 species